rnacentral:rRNA from 1 species
CGGUGGCUAAUACCGCAUAACGUCGCAAGACCAAAGAGGGGGACCUUCGGGCCUCUUGCCAUCAGAUGUGCCCAGAUGGGAUUAGCUUGUUGGUGAGGUAACGGCUCACCAAGGCGACGAUCCCUAGCUGGUCUGAGAGGAUGACCAGCCACACUGGAACUGAGACACGGUCCAGACUCCUACGGGAGGCAGCAGUGGGGAAUAUUGCACAAUGGGCGCAAGCCUGAUGCAGCCAUGCCGCGUGUAUGAAGAAGGCCUUCGGGUUGUAAAGUACUUUCAGCGGGGAGGAAGGUGUUGUGGUUAAUAACCACAGCAAUUGACGUUACCCGCAGAAGAAGCACCGGCUAACUCCGUGCCAGCAGCCGCGGUAAUACGGAGGGUGCAAGCGUUAAUCGGAAUUACUGGGCGUAAAGCGCACGCAGGCGGUCUGUCAAGUCGGAUGUGAAAUCCCCGGGCUCAACCUGGGAACUGCAUUCGAAACUGGCAGGCUUGAGUCUUGUAGAGGGGGGUAGAAUUCCAGGUGUAGCGGUGAAAUGCGUAGAGAUCUGGAGGAAUACCGGUGGCGAAGGCGGCCCCCUGGACAAAGACUGACGCUCAGGUGCGAAAGCGUGGGGAGCAAACAGGAUUAGAUACCCUGGUAGUCCACGCCGUAAACGAUGUCUACUUGGAGGUUGUGCCCUUGAGGCGUGGCUUCCGGAGCUAACGCGUUAAGUAGACCGCCUGGGGAGUACGGCCGCAAGGUUAAAACUCAAAUGAAUUGACGGGGGCCCGCACAAGCGGUGGAGCAUGUGGUUUAAUUCGAUGCAACGCGAAGAACCUUACCUGGUCUUGACAUCCACAGAACUUUCCAGAGAUGGACUGGUGCCUUCGGGAACUGUGAGACAGGUGCUGCAUGGCUGUCGUCAGCUCGUGUUGUGAAAUGUUGGGUUAAGUCCCGCAACGAGCGCAACCCUUAUCCUUUGUUGCCAGCGGUUAGGCCGGGAACUCAAAGGAGACUGCCAGUGAUAAACUGGAGGAAGGUGGGGAUGACGUCAAGUCAUCAUGGCCCUUACGACCAGGGCUACACACGUGCUACAAUGGCGCAUACAAAGAGAAGCGACCUCGCGAGAGCAAGCGGACCUCAUAAAGUGCGUCGUAGUCCGGAUUGGAGUCUGCAACUCGACUCCAUGAAGUCGGAAUCGCUAGUAAUCGUGGAUCAGAAUGCCACGGUGAAUACGUUCCCGGGCCUUGUACACACCGCCCGUCACACCAUGGGAGUGGGUUGCAAAAGAAGUAGGUAGCUUAACCUUCGGGAGGGCGCUUACCACUUUGUGAUUCAUGACUGGGGUGAAGUCGUAACAAGGUAACCGUAGGGGAACCUGCGGUUGGAUCACCUCCUUA